UACGUAGGGUGCGAGCGUUUAAUCGGAAUUACUGGGCGUAAAGUGUGCGCAGGCGGCUUCGCAAGUCGAGUGUGAAAUCCCCGAGCUUAACUUGGGAAUUGCGCUCGAAACUACGGAGCUGGAGUGUGGCAGAGGAAGGUGGAAUUCCACGUGUAGCGGUGAAAUUCGUAGAUAUCGGGAGGAACACCAGUGGCGAAGGCGGCGACCUGGACGGACAUUGACGCUGAGACGCGAAAGCGUGGGGAGCAAACAGGGAUUAAG
rnacentral:rRNA from 1 species